rnacentral:rRNA from 1 species
GACGAACGCUGGCGGCGUGCCUAAUACAUGCAAGUCGAGCGGAUUGAUGGGAGCUUGCUCCCUGAUAUCAGCGGCGGACGGGUGAGUAACACGUGGGCAACCUGCCUAUAAGACUGGGAUAACUUCGGGAACCCGGAGCUAAUACCGGAUAAUCCCUUUCCUCUCAUGAGGAAAGGCUGAAAGAUGGUUUACGCUAUCACUUAUAGAUGGGCCCGCGGCGCAUUAGCUAGUUGGUGAGGUAACGGCUCACCAAGGCAACGAUGCGUAGCCGACCUGAGAGGGUGAUCGGCCACACUGGGACUGAGACACGGCCCAGACUCCUACGGGAGGCAGCAGUAGGGAAUCUUCCGCAAUGGACGAAAGUCUGACGGAGCAACGCCGCGUGAGUGAUGAAGGUUUUCGGAUCGUAAAACUCUGUUGUUAGGGAAGAACAAGUACGAGAGUAACUGCUCGUACCUUGACGGUACCUAACCAGAAAGCCACGGCUAACUACGUGCCAACAGCCGCCGCGG